rnacentral:rRNA from 1 species
AGAGUUUGAUCAUGGCUCAGGACGAACGCUGGCGGCGUGCCUAACACAUGCAAGUCGAACGAGAACUAGGGCUUCGGCCCAAGGGACAGUGGCGAACGGGUGAGUAACACGUGAGAAACCUGCCCCGGAGACUGGGACAACCAUUGGAAACGAUGGCUAAUACCAGAUGCCUCCGCUUGGUCGCAUGACCGAGCGAAGAAAGGCUCCGGCGCUCCGGGAGGGUCUCGCGGCCUAUCAGCUAGUUGGUGGGGUAACGGCCUACCAAGGCAUCGACGGGUAGCUGGUCUGAGAGGACGAUCAGCCACAUUGGGACUGAGACACGGCCCAAACUCCUACGGGAGGCAGCAGUGGGGAAUAUUGCGCAAUGGGGGCAACCCUGACGCAGCAACGCCGCGUGUGGGAUGACAGCUUUCNGGGUUGUAAACCACUUUCAGUGAUGACGA